rnacentral:pre_miRNA from 1 species
CAAGUACUCCCUCUGUCCGGAAUUACUUGUCAUCAAAAUGGAUGUGUCUAGAACUAAAAUACAUCUAGAUACAUCCAUUUCAAUGACAAGUAUUUUUGGAUGGAGGGAGUACACG